CAAUAGCGUAUAUUAAAGUUGUUGCGGUAAAAAAGCUCGUAGUUGGAUUUCUGUUGAGAGCGACCGGUCCAUACCAUGUAUGCGUAUCUGGCUUGCUCUCGGCAUCCUCUCGAUAGACGUUACUGCGCUUGAUUGCGUGGUGCGGAUCUCGGGACUUUUACUUUGAGGAAAUUAGAGUGUUCACGGCAGGCUUUCGCCAGAAUACAUUAGCAUGGAAUAAUACUAUAGGAUCUUGGUUCUAUUUUGUUGGUUUCUAGAAUUGAGAUAAUGAUUAAUAGGGACAAUUGGGGGCAUUCGUAUCGACACGUCAGAGGUGGAAUUCUUGGAUUGUGUUGCGACGAACUACUGCGAAAGCAUUUGCCAAGGAUGUUUUCAUUGA
rnacentral:rRNA from 1 species